UCAAGUUAACUCAAGUACUAGAGUAUGGGGGUGGGGGGAAAUGUACCGCAGCGUUAAUGAAAACUAGAGCUGAGAGAAUGUGUUUUCUUGAGUAAAUUGCAAAUGCCAGUGCGCCGCAUUUGUCCAGGAGGGAAGAAUGAGGGGCCCUGGUAGCAAAGCCAGUGGAAGAAGUUUUACUAGGAGCAGUUGUAUCAUUCGUGUACUUUUUUUGUGUCAUACAAGUGAGAGUAAAAUGGUCCGUGUCUGUGUUUUGAGGAAUUUUUUGCCUUUCUUUUCAGAAACUAAUUCUGAAGCAAGCCCUUAUUGUUGUGCUGCAGUGGUGUUUCAAUCACAAUUUUAGUGUUCGACUGUAUGCUUUAGUUGCUCUUAAGAAACUCUGGACUGUGUGUAAAGUGUUAAGUGUUGAAGAAUUUGAUGCCCUGACUCCUGUGAUUGAAUCCAGCCUCCAUCAAGUGGAAAGCAUGCACGGAGCAGGGAAUGCCAAGAAGAAUUGGCAACGCAUUCAAGAGCAUUUCUUUUUUGCAACAUUUCACCCACUCGAGGAUUAUUGUCUAGAGGCAGUGUCUGGCUUGUAAACAAUGGAAGGGAAUAUUUAACUCUAAACAGAAAUCUGUUCUGACAUUAAAAGGAAAUGAGUGAGAACAUUUGUGCAGACCAUAUUUUACAUCCUUCCACGCCUUUCAGGCCUUAUUGAAGAUGAGUGGAUCACCAUUGAUAAAUUUACCAGAUUCACUGAUGUUCCUUUAGAUGCGGGAUUUCAGUGGUACCUUUCUCAAACUCAACUUAGUAAACUAAAACCAGGUGACUGGUCUCAGCAAGACAUAGGUAGUAAUUUGGUCGAAGCAGAUAACCAAGCGGAGUGGACCGAUGUUCAGAAGAAGAUUAUCCCGUGGAACAGUCGUGUUCCUGACUUAGACCUGGAGCUCCUGUUUCAGGAUCGUGCUGCCAGACUUGGAAAGUCAAUUAGUAGACUCAUCGUCGUGGCCUCGCUCAUUGACAAACCGACCAAUUUAGGAGGACUGUGCAGGACCUGUGAGGUAUUUGGGGCUUCAGUGCUCGUUAUUGGCAGCCUUCAGUGUAUCAGCGACAAACAGUUUCAGCACCUCAGUGUCUCUGCAGAACAGUGGCUUCCUCUAGUGGAGGUAAAACCACCUCAGCUAAUUGAUUAUCUGCAGCAGAAGAAAACAGAAGGUUAUACCAUCAUUGGAGUGGAACAAACUGCCAAAAGUUUAGACUUAACCCAAUAUUGCUUUCCUGAGAAAUCUCUACUCUUGUUGGGAAAUGAACGUGAGGGAAUUCCAGCAAAUCUGAUCCAGCAGUUGGACGUUUGUGUGGAAAUUCCUCAACAGGGCAUUAUCCGUUCCCUGAACGUCCACGUGAGUGGAGCCCUGCUGAUCUGGGAGUACACCAGGCAGCAGCUGCUCUCACAUGGAGAUAACAAGCCAUGAUGUGCCUUCCUCAGUGAACCGCUGGUGCUGUUCAAACUUUUUUUAAAAAAACUAUUUGAACUAAAGAAACAGAUUCUGAAAUUUAUUGUGAUAAUUUGUAUUUCUUUUUUCUUGCAAUUUAAUGCCAAAAGUUUGCCAUGUGCCUUAAACAUAUUACUAUAUAUUUUCCCCUUUAAUAGACACUUUUUGUUAAAUUGUA
rnacentral:sRNA from 1 species